AAAUUUUGUAUUAAAAUACAAAAAUGGCUAAAAGAAAUCACACCGUGUAAUAUAGAAUUGAAACCUGAACUUGUUUCUUCUGGGGAUCAUUAAAGGAAAUUACCCUAAUGUAUUUUUGUUGGUUGCAGGAUCCCUGGGAUAUUCCUCCUUUGUGACUUUCCGACAAGCCAAGUCAAUGGGGAAACCAGAUUCACUUAACAACGGUGGCAAGAGCUUGAGUGCCGCGGGGUCUUGAAGGAGCAGCUGCGUCACAAGAUGGACUGAAGGAAUUUCUGGAAGUCACCGACUCUUCGGGAGUUCGGUAUCGUUUGGUAUGAAGAGGAUGGAAAAAGAUUGAAGAUUCCAGCAAGAAUUGGGUGAAAACAAUUUAUCUCCACUUCAAAAACAGAUGCUGAAUGUAUUUUGGCAGGGAAACCGUUCUUAACUGCCAACCGUCCCAAGGAAACCGCGAUGAGGAAGUUGAAGAAUCGGCUAGCUCAGCCACAGUUGUGUCAAACGCCGUGAGAAGAAACAAGCCAACUUGGUUUUCUUUUCCAACAGUGACUUCGUUUAUUGGGUCUGCUACAAACCGGGUCUCGGUGAAAGUUGAGGUCUCUCUGUAUAAAAGUCAGCGCUAAGAGCUUCUGCCUCUCAGCCCCUUUUUAAACAUCCCGCGCUGCUCAUGCCCCGCCCCAUGGCUGAAUUGCUCCGUUGAUUGGACGCCCGGCCGCUCUCUCCCUCCUCGUCUGACAGCUUCAGCUGCCACGUCAUUUGCCAAAUCCCGGAACUAAAGCAGCUCUUCGUAACAUCCAGCCCUCUAUCCCGGCCGCCAGUGUGCUGAUUCCCUUCCCAUGCUUCCCAAACGCAGAUCCCUGCACCCCUCAAACAAGUCCCAGAUAUGUCAUCCCAUUGGAUCUUUGAUUAGGGGCUGCUCCCAUGAUCCGGAUCCCUGUAGCGUCACUUGUUGAGCCAGAGCUGGGCUCGACAGAUGCGCUGAAUUAACGCAGGGAAUGUGUAAACCGCACCUCACAUUCACUUAGCAAAUUGGGUCACUUCAAUAAAUUUCUUGUCCGAAUUAAAUGUAGCUCAGGGUUCUUCCAGUUAACGGACGCUCAACUCUGAACCGAACACGGUGACGUGCUCAAUUUAUGUACCCACUCAGCUGAGCGAAACCGGUGGCAUUUGUCUUAUGGGUUAGGGUUACCGAUCAGGGCUUAGUUCUUCAUCACCUGAUUGAAAAAUACAUACCGAAUAGACCUGUAUCUUUAUACGCCGGUUUUAUAGAUCUUAAGGCAGCCUUUGAUAACGGUUUGACUGAGCUAUGGGAGAAGCCGGAAGCUGCCUCAACUGACCACAGGCGGCUUCAUCUAUUACGUGCCCUAUGUGCUAAAAUAAAAGCCUCUGAUGGCUCAACAGACUAAUGCAGUCUGUUAUUAACAGCAGCUGCUUGCAAUUACUGCAGGUUCAAGUCCCACCAGGCCCAAGGUUGACUCGGCCUUCCAUCCAUCCCCCUUGCUUUUCCACUCUUACAUAAACGACGUGGUAAAAUGGCUAAAGAAACCAAAUCACUGGUGCUGCCCCC